rnacentral:piRNA from 1 species
CGAAACGUGGCCUCCCCAAACUGGAGUA